AUUGAACGCUGGCGGCAGGCCUAACACAUGCAAGUCGAACGAGUGGCGGACGGGUGAGUAAUGUCUGGGAAACUGCCUGAUGGAGGGGGAUAACUACUGGAAACGGUAGCUAAUACCGCAUACAAUCGGAUGUGCCCAGAUGGGAUUAGCUAGUUGGUGGGGUAACGGCUAACCAAGGCGACGAUCCCUAGCUGGUCUGAGAGGAUGACCAGCCACACUGGAACUGAGACACGGCCCAGACUCCUACGGGAGGCAGCAGUGGGGAUUUUGGCACAUGGGGGGAAACCUGAUUGAAGCCAUCCGGCGGGAUGGAAGAAGGCUUUGGGUUUGUAAAGUACUUUCAGCGGGAAGGCGUUACCCGCGAAAAAGCCCCCGGCUAACUCCGUGCCGCCAGCCGCGGUAAUAC
rnacentral:rRNA from 1 species